GGGNNNGNNUUNNNNUUANGGCUUCCUGGUUUUCCGGGUAACGGGGAAUUAGGGUUCGAUUCCGGAGAGGGAGCCUGAGAAACGGCUACCACAUCCAAGGAAGGCAGCAGGCGCGCAAAUUACCCAAUCCCAAUACGGGGAGGUAGUGACAAUAAAUAACAAUAUAGGGCCCUUACGGGUUUUGUAAUUGGAAUGAGUACAAUUUAAAUCUCUUAACGAGGAACAAUUGGAGGGCAAGUCUGGUGCCAGCAGCCGCGGUAAUUCCAGCUCCAAUAGCGUAUAUUAAAGUUGUUGCAGUUAAAAAGCUCGUAGUUGAAUUUCGGGAUUUGUCAGUUGGUCGGGCUUNACUGUCCGUACUGGCUUGAUGGAUUCUUACCUUCUGAAUAACCAGCAUGCUAUUAAGUUAGUGCGUUGGGGAAGCAGAUCUAUUACCUUGAAAAAAUUAGAGUGCUUAAAGCGGGCUUGUGCUUGAAUAGAUUAGCAUGGAAUAAUAAAAUAGGACGGCAUGGUUCUAUUUUGUUGGUUUCUAGGAUCACCGUAAUGAUUAAUAGGGAUAGUUGGGGGCAUUAGUAUUCAAUUGUCAGAGGUGAAAUUCUUGGAUUUAUUGAAGACUAACUUCUGCGAAAGCAUUUGCCAAGGAUGUUUUCAUUAAUCAAGAACGAAAGUUAGGGGAUCGAAGACGAUCAGAUACCGUCGUAGUCUUAACCAUAAACUAUGCCGACUAGGAAUCGGACGAUGUUAAUUUUAUAAUGACUCGUUCGNAGGNNNUANANNNNNANNNNNCCC
rnacentral:rRNA from 1 species